AAAUUGAAGAGUUUGAUCAUGGCUCAGAUUGAACGCUGGCGGCAGGCCUAACACAUGCAAGUCGAACGGUAACAGGAAGCAGCUUGCUGCUUUGCUGACGAGUGGCGGACGGGUGAGUAAUGUCUGGGAAACUGCCUGAUGGAGGGGGAUAACUACUGGAAACGGUGGCUAAUACCGCAUAACGUCGCAAGACCAAAGAGGGGGACCUUCGGGCCUCUUGCCAUCAGAUGUGCCCAGAUGGGAUUAGCUUGUUGGUGAGGUAACGGCUCACCAAGGCGACGAUCCCUAGCUGGUCUGAGAGGAUGACCAGCCACACUGGAACUGAGACACGGUCCAGACUCCUACGGGAGGCAGCAGUGGGGAAUAUUGCACAAUGGGCGCAAGCCUGAUGCAGCCAUGCCGCGUGUAUGAAGAAGGCCUUCGGGUUGUAAAGUACUUUCAGCGGGGAGGAAGGUGUUGUGGUUAAUAACCGCAGCAAUUGACGUUACCCGCAGAAGAAGCACCGGCUAACUCCGUGCCAGCAGCCGCGGUAAUACGGAGGGUGCAAGCGUUAAUCGGAAUUACUGGGCGUAAAGCGCACGCAGGCGGUCUGUCAAGUCGGAUGUGAAAUCCCCGGGCUCAACCUGGGAACUGCAUUCGAAACUGGCAGGCUUGAGUCUUGUAGAGGGGGGUAGAAUUCCAGGUGUAGCGGUGAAAUGCGUAGAGAUCUGGAGGAAUACCGGUGGCGAAGGCGGCCCCCUGGACAAAGACUGACGCUCAGGUGCGAAAGCGUGGGGAGCAAACAGGAUUAGAUACCCUGGUAGUCCACGCCGUAAACGAUGUCUACUUGGAGGUUGUGCCCUUGAGGCGUGGCUUCCGGAGCUAACGCGUUAAGUAGACCGCCUGGGGAGUACGGCCGCAAGGUUAAAACUCAAAUGAAUUGACGGGGGCCCGCACAAGCGGUGGAGCAUGUGGUUUAAUUCGAUGCAACGCGAAGAACCUUACCUGGUCUUGACAUCCACAGAAGAAUCCAGAGAUGGAUUUGUGCCUUCGGGAACUGUGAGACAGGUGCUGCAUGGCUGUCGUCAGCUCGUGUUGUGAAAUGUUGGGUUAAGUCCCGCAACGAGCGCAACCCUUAUCCUUUGUUGCCAGCGGUUAGG
rnacentral:rRNA from 2 species